GCGUUUUCCAAGCAGCACCUUCACUGCUCCAAACUUUUUCCCUAUUCCCUGCAUCCCAAACUUUUUCCAAUUUACCGACAUUCCAAACUUCCCUACACUCCAAACCUCUUCUCUAUUCCCUACACUCCAAACCUUUUCCCUUUUUCCUACCUUCCAAACUUUUUCCCUCUUCCCUACAUUCCAAACUUCCCUACCUUCCAAACCUUUUCCUUAUUCCCUACACUCCAAACCUUUUCUCUAUUCUCUACAUCCCAAACCUUUUCCAACUCCCCUACAUUCCAAACUUCCACACACUCCAAACCAUUUCCCUAUUCCCUACACUCCAAACAUUUUCCAACUUCCCUACAUUCCAAACCUUUUCCCAAUUACCUACACUCCAAACCUUUUCCCUUUUCCCUACAUUCCAAAUCUUGUCUCUAUUCCCUACAUUCCAAACCUUUUCCCAAUUCCCUACACUCCAAACCUUUUCCCUUUUUCCUACCUUCCAAACAUUUUCCCUCUUCCCUACAUUCCAAACUUCCCUACACUCCAACCCUUUUCCAACUUCCCUACAUUCCAAACUUCCACACACUCCAAACCAUUUCCCUAUUCCCUACACUUCAAACAUUUUCCAACUUUCCUACAUUCCAAACCUUUUCCCAAUUACCUACACUCCAACCCUUUUCCCAGUUCCUAACAUUCCAAAUCUUUUCCCUAUUCCCUUCAUUCCAAAUCUUUUCCCUAUUCCCUUCAUUCCAAACCUUUUCCCAAUUCCCUACAUUCCAAACCUUUUCCAACUUCCCUACACUCCAAACCUUUUCCCUAUUCCCUACACUCCAACCCUUUUCCCAGUUCCUAACAUUCCAAAUCUUUUCUCUAUUCCCUUCAUUCCAAACCUUUUCCCAAUUCCCUACAUUCCAAACCUUUUCCAACUUCCCUACAUUCCAAACUUCCCUACACUCCAAACCUUCUCCAAACCUUUUCCCUAUUCCCUACACUCCAACCCUUUUCCCAAUUCCUAACAUUGCAAAUCUUUUCUCUAUUCCCUAUAUUCCAAACCUUUUCCCAAUUCCCUACAUUCCAAAUCUUUUCUCUAUUCCUUUCAUUCCAAACCUUUUCCAACUUCCCUACAUUCCAAACCUUCUCCAAACCUUUUCCCUAUUCCCUACAUCCCAAACCUUUUCCUUAUUCCCUACAUCCCAAACCUUUUCCCUAUUCCCUACAUUCCAAACCUUUUCCUUAUUCCCUACGUUCCAAGCUUUUUCCCUAUUCCCUACACCCCAAACCUUUUCCCAAUUCCAUCCCCAUCCCCANNNNNNNNNNNNNNNNNNNNNNNNNNCCUUCCAAACUUUUUCCCUCUUCCCUACAUUCCAAGCCUUCUCCUUAUUCCCUACACUCCAAACCUUUUCUCUAUUCUCUACAUCCCAAACCUUUUCCAACUCCCCUACAUUCCAAACUUCCCUACAUUCCAAGCCUUCUCCUUAUUCCCUACACUCCAAACCUUUUCUCUAUUCUCUACAUUCCAAACCUUUUCCAACUCCCCUACAUUCCAAACUUCCAUACACUCCAAACUAUUUCCCUAUUCUCUACACUCCAAACCUUUUCCAACUUCCCUACAUUCCAAACCUUUUCCCAAUUACCUACAUUCCAAACCUUUCCCCUUUUCCCUACAUUCCAAAUCUUGUCUCUAUUCCCUACAUUCCAAACUUCCCCACAUUCCAAACCUUUUCCUUACUCCCUACACUCCAACCCUUUUCCGAAUUCCUAACAUUCCAAACCUUUUCCCUAUUCCCUACACUCCAACCCUUUUCCCAGUUCCCUACAUCCCAAACCUUUUCCCAAUUCCCUACAUUCCAAACCUUUUCCAACUUCCCUACAUUCCAAACCUUCUCCAAACCUUUUCCCUAUUCCCUACAUUCCAACCCUUUUCCCAGUUCCUAA
rnacentral:lncRNA from 1 species